rnacentral:rRNA from 1 species
CCUACGGGAGGCAGCAGUCGAGAAUUUUUCUCAAUGGGGGAAACCCUGAAGGAGCGACGCCGCGUGGAGGAUGAAGGUCUUCGGAUUGUAAACUCCUGUCAUGAGAGAGUAAGGCACUGCGUUAACUGCGCGUGUGUUUGAUAGUAUCUCAAGAGGAAGGGACGGCUAACUCUGUGCCAGCAGCCGCGGUAAUACAGAGGUCCCGAGCGUUGUUCGGAUUCAUUGGGCGUAAAGGGUGCGUAGGCGGCAUGGUAAGUCAGAUGUGAAAUUUCAGGGCUCAACCCUGAAACUGCAUUUGAUACUGCCGUGCUCGAGUGCUGGAGAGGAGACUGGAAUUCACGGUGUAGCAGUGAAAUGCGUAGAUAUCGUGAGGAAGGCCAGUGGCGAAGGCGAGUCUCUGGACAGCAACUGACGCUGAGGCACGAAGGCUAGGGGAGCAAACGGGAUUAGAUACCCUAGUAGUC